rnacentral:rRNA from 1 species
GAUGAACGCUGGCGGCGUGCCUAAUACAUGCAAGUCGAGCGAACGGACGAGAAGCUUGCUUUUCUGAUGUUAGCGGCGGACGGGUGAGUAACACGUGGAUAACCUACCUAUAAGACUGGGAUAACUUCGGGAAACCGGAGCUAAUACCGGAUAAUAUUUUGAACCGCAUGGUUCAAAAGUGAAAGACGGUCUUGCUGUCACUUAUAGAUGGAUCCGCGCUGCAUUAGCUAGUUGGUAAGGUAACGGCUUACCAAGGCAACGAUGCAUAGCCGACCUGAGAGUGUGAUCGGCCACACUGGAACUGAGCCUCGGUCCUGACUCCUGCGGGAGGCAGCAGUAGGGAAUCUGCCGCAAUGGGCGGAAGCCUGACGGAGCAACGCCGCGUGAGUGAUGAAGGUCUUAGGAUCGUACACCUCUGUUAUUAGAGUAGAACAUAUAUGUAAGUAACUGUGCACAUCUUGACGGUACCUAAUCAGAAAGCCACGGCUAACAUCGUG